AUGGGUGGCUCAGUUGGUAGAGCAUGGUGUUUGCAACGCCAGGGUUGUGGGUUCGAUUCCAACGAUCUAUA
rnacentral:tRNA from 1 species